rnacentral:rRNA from 1 species
ACUUAAAUUGAAGAGUUUGAUCAUGGCUCAGAUUGAACGCUGGCGGCAGGCCUAACACAUGCAAGUCGAGCGGCAGCGGGAAAGUAGCUUGCUACUUUUGCCGGCGAGCGGCGGACGGGUGAGUAAUGCCUGGGGAUCUGCCCAGUCGAGGGGGAUAACAGUUGGAAACGACUGCUAAUACCGCAUACGCCUACGGG